CUACAAAAAAAAUUGUGAAUAACGACAGAAUGAUAGGGGCGGUUCACUAAAACCGUCGUCGCUAUGUUGUUUUCAUGAGUUUGCGACUGUUCAUUCUAAACCGUCGUCGUCAUAUCUGAAUAUUACGUGCUACCCUUUCCUUGUUCCCUCUUCUUUUUUUUGCACUCACAAAUUUGGCUUCCAUUCACAAAUCGUUCGAUCCUUCAACAAUAAAUCAUCCUCAGAAAUCCUUCAUUUCAGAAUUGUUCAAUCGAGUUUCAGAAUCGUUCAACCCUAGUUUCAUUUCAACAAAGCUUCGAUUCAAUUUCUCAGAAAUCCUUCAUUUCAGCAUCAUUCAACUUGAAUUGUUCAAUUGAGUUUCAAAAUCGUUCAACCCUAGUUUCAACAAAGCUUCGAUUCAGUUUCUCAGAAAUCCUUCAUUUCAGCAUCGUUCAACUUCAGAGUUGUUCAAUUGUGUUUCAGUUAUCUCAUUCGGAAUCGUUCACGGUUCAUCACUCAUUUAACCUUCAAAUUCUUCGUUGGUAAUUAGACUUAGGUAUUUCAAACUUUCCGACGGCCGCAAUGUUGAGACAAAGCUAAUAUGAACAGAGCUAAUAUGAAAUGAUUAAUUCACACUGUAAUGAGCUUUUCAAUAUUGAGAUUUUGGAGGAAGGUAGUGGAAUAAAGAAUCGUGUUGUUUGACAUAGAUCAAAGCUCGAACUUUACACAAAGUGUAACAGGAUCUCAUCUUGGGCCUGCGGUUUUACACGAACUGUUGUUCUUCAAUAUCUCAUCUUGGGCCUGCGGUUUUACACGAACUGUUGUUCUUCAAUGAUUCUAUCCUGGUGUUACUGAUGCAUUAAAAUUUGCAAGCACAAGAGUGUACAAUGUACAUUGUCACCACAAAACAGGUCUGACUUCUCUCUCUGCUCCUACCAUGAAGACAAUAGUCCUAAUCCUAUGACAUGCCAUUAUUUAUACUUUUGCCAAUAAUUAGCAUCUGAUAAAAUUUAUGAAUGUGAAUUUUGUAAAUGUUAAUUACCAUUGCCAAUAAUUAGGAUAUGACACAAAUUCCUAAUUGGCAACAUCUGAUUUAUCAUAUUUCACAGACCCUGAAAUGAAACUAAAUUUGCAAUAGCUGGUCAUACUUGGUCUAUGUACUCAUUGAAGGAUUAGUAAUAGUAAUAGUGGAUAUGCAAUCACACAUGCUGCAUUAAAUUGUAGUACAUGAACACUAACUAGGAUUCUUUGUUUUGCAUAUGAUACUUUCUUUUGAGCUUCCAUUCACUUUAAUUUCACUCCUUAAGUUUAGCAGCGGUAGUACAAAGAUAGGACCUCGUAAGAAUUCAAUGACUUAUGCAGAGAAAGGAGUGCUUCAUUUUGGGUAAGCUGCUCUUUUUUACCUGACGCUAUUGUGCUAUUAAUUAGUCUGGCUUGAUCAUGAAUAAGGUUUGCUUGCUGCAUUUUGGUUUUACAAUACCGAAGUUUUCUGGUUUGGCAGGUUGUGAACAUGUUUGUUCUUUCUGAUUAAUAAAUUGGUAAUUAGGUAUAUAUUUUGAUUAUUCAAAUUAGGUAUUCCAAUUAUAUAUUCAUGUGAGUGUUUUGGUAGAUUUGUAUGUUUUGAUUGAUUAUUCAAAACCGCCGCUAACCGCUUGCAGAACCGUCGCAAACUGGCUAAUUUCUCGUAGUGAAAUGACUUAUUUAUAGGCUAACUAACUAGACUAACUAGUAACUAGUACAAUAUUAACCAUGCAAGUUGGGAUAUUUUUUUAUUUCACUAUACAAAAUUUUCUUUAGGGCAUAAAAUGUAAACUCAAUUCUAAAGAGCAAUAAUGCCACAUGGUGAACUCUAUUCUAAACACGAUGUAGACUGUAGUACAAUUGAAACACGUGAAAAGUAUAAUGAUUUUGUAU